UGGGGAAUAUUGCACAAUGGGCGCAAGCCUGAUGCAGCCAUGCCGCGUGUGUGAAGAAGGCCUUCGGGUUGUAAAGCACUUUCAGCGAGGAGGAAGGUGGUGAACUUAAUACGUUCAUCAAUUGACGUUACUCGCAGAAGAAGCACCGGCUAACUCCGUGCCAGCAGCCGCGGUAAUACGGAGGGUGCAAGCGUUAAUCGGAAUUACUGGGCGUAAAGCGCACGCAGGCGGUUUGUUAAGUCAGAUGUGAAAUCCCCGGGCUCAACCUGGGAACUGCAUUUGAAACUGGCAAGCUAGAGUCUCGUAGAGGGGGGUAGAAUUCCAGGUGUAGCGGUGAAAUGCGUAGAGAUCUGGAGGAAUACCGGUGGCGAAGGCGGCCCCCCUGGACGAAGACUGACGCUCAGGUGCGAAAGCGUGGGGAGCAAAACAGGAUUAGAUACCCUGGUAGUCCACGCUGUAAACGAUGUCGAUUUGGAGGUUGUGCCCUUGAGGCGUGG
rnacentral:rRNA from 1 species